rnacentral:rRNA from 1 species
AGAGUUUGAUCCUGGCUCAGAACGAACGCUGGCAGCGUGGAUUAGGCAUGCAAGUCGAACGAGAAUCUCUUGGUUCAAUCUUUCGGGAGAGAACCUUUUGAGGAGAGUGGCGAAAGGGUGAGUAACGCGUGGGUAAUCUACCGUUAAGUUGGGGAUAACUUGGUGAAAACCGGGCUAAUACCGAAUGUGGUCAUUUGUCGCAUGGCUUAAUGAUUAAAGGUGGGGACCCCGAUUCGUCGGGGCCUGUCGCUUGACGAGGAACCCGCGUCCUAUCAGCUUGUUGGUGAGGUAACGGCUCACCAAGGCUUACGGGUAGCUGGUCUGAGAGGAUGAUCAGUCACACUGGGACUGAGACACUGCCCAGACUCCUACGGGAGGCUGCAGUCGAGGAUCAUUCGCAAUGCGCGAAAGCGUGACGAUGCGACGCUGCGUGGAGGAUGACGGCUUUCGGGUUGUAAACUCCUGUCAUCCGGGAACAAUGGCGCGGAGGGUAAUACUCUUCGUGUUUGAUGUACCGGAAGAGGAAGCCACGCUAACU